CAAUAGCGUAUAUUAAAGUUGUUGCGGUCAAAAAGCUCGUAGUUGGAUUUCUACCGAAGAUAGCCGGUCGGGUCUUCGACCUUGUAUCUGGUUUUGUCUUUGGUAUCCUCAUAGGGAACGUUUCUGCGCUCUAUUGCGUGGUGCGGUAUCUAUGACUUUUACUUUGAGGAAAUUAGAGUGUUCACGGCAGGCAAACGCCUUGAAUAUAUUAGCAUGGAAUAAUAACAUAGGAUCUUCGUCCUAUUUUGUUGGUUUCUAGGGCUAAGAUAAUGAUUAAUAGGGAUAAUUGGGGGCAUCUGUAUCAACGCGUCAGAGGUGGAAUUCUUGGAUUGCGUUGCGACAAACUACUGCGAAAGCAUUUGCCAAGGAUGUUUUCAUUGA
rnacentral:rRNA from 1 species